rnacentral:lncRNA from 1 species
UAGUCCGUGGAGUGUCCCUAGGACGCCUCGAAACAUCCAUGAUGUGUUUCAUAGUCGUACAUCAGAAUCACUUCCAUGAAGGAAAAGCAUCAACAAAUAUUACUUUACAUACAUACAGAAGCUGCGAAUUAUCACAAACCGUAGAUUGAAAUAAACUUAAUAGUGCAAGUUAGAUCAUUGCUAGGAGUUUUGAACAUAAAACUAGUCCAAGGGCAAGUAAUUAUACAACUACAUUUUAUUCUAGGGUAUUAUGAGACCCAUAAAUAUCCUAGUUCUUCGGCACUUCUUCUUCGGUUGUCCCCUACUAUGCUUCUGAAAACAACAACAAGGGAUCCCCUGAAUACUAGGGUACUCAGCAAGACUAAC